UCCACUUCCGCCCUUCCCUCAGCCAAAGACUAUACAGGGAAGAGAAGUGGCAAAAGUGAGGCCUCAAGGCCGCGCCGGAAGUGUAGGCCCUUCAAGCGGAAGUGGAAGAUUCCCGGUUGAAAUGUGCGAAGCGGAGGAAGGAGACUGCGGCGGCGGGCAGCUCUGGAGGCCUCUUCAGAGGAGCCGCCCCUUGAAAUGCAUGAAGUGCAAAGAAGGUUCCCCGGUGUUAAUCAUUCGUGUUGGAGAUGCUUUUUGCAAGACGUGUUUCAAGGAAUAUUUCAUCCACAAGUUUCGUGCCACUCUUGGAAAAAAUCGAUGCAUCUAUCCUGGAGAAAAGGUUCUCCUCGCCUUUUCGGGUGGCCCUGCCUCAAGUUCGAUGGUGCGGCAAGUGCAAGAGGGCCUGAGUCAAGGAGCAGCCAAGAAACUCCGCUUCAAACCAGGAAUCGUCUACAUUGAUGAAGGAGCUGUGUGUGGACAGAGCCUGGCUGCUCGGGAGGAUAUCCGCAACGAAGUGGAGACGAUCUUGGAAGCCACUGGAUUCCCCUAUCACUUGGUGCAUUUGGAAGAGGUGUUUGACCUUCCCAGUUCUGUCCUCCACUCAGUUUCCCGUGAAAUCCCUGACCAGAGCAACAGCUAUAAGGAAGCAGUCGAUGACUUCAUAAAACAGCAGCGUGAAAAGGAAAGAGACACAGCAGAACUCUCCUUGAGGGACCAGCAGGGAGAGUUAAGCCUACAAGAUGCUUCAAGGGAAGAAGAGUUAAUAGACCCAAGAAAGGAGAUGCCUGCAGUUUCCCAUACAGAGAAACUGAUCAAUCUCUUUCAGACUGUGAAAACCCUGACGGCCAAAGAGGAAUUAUUGCAGACCCUCCGGACCCACCUCAUCCUCCACGUGGCGCGGACAAACGGCUACGGCAAGGUGAUGAUGGGAGACAGCUGCACCCGCGUGGCAGUCAAGCUCCUGACCAACCUCUCCUUGGGACGCGGAGCCUUUCUUGCUGCAGAUACAGGAUUCUCAGACAACCGCCAUGGUGAUGUGCUGUUCCUGCGCCCGAUGCGGGAGUACCCUGCCAAAGAGAUUGCCUUCUACAAUCGCCUCUUUGGUGUGCCCUCCGUCUUCAUUCCUGCACUCGAUACCAAGACAUCAGAGAGAGCCAGCAUUCACCGGCUGAUUGAGAGUUUCCUGUACAAGCUGCAGUCUGAGUUCCCCUCCACGGUCAGCACUGUCUAUCGGACAGGGGAGAAGCUCUCUGGCGACGCCGGGGGACUUUCAGAACCGGCCCGGUGCCUCUUCUGCCUCUGUUCGCUGGACACGAAUGUUGUGGAUGGCUCUUCCUUGCAGUCGACGCUGUUGUCCGAACAGCUCUGCAAGAAGGGGACCCCUCUGUCCCCUGGUGUGGAUGGCUGCUGCGGAGGGACUGGGGACCGAGCAGGGUGCUGCCAAAGGCCUAUUGUCACCAGGGACUCUUCCCCUCAUACCCAGCUCCUUCCAUUUCUCUGCUACAGCUGCCGCCUGACCGCCAAAGAUAUGAACAGUUUGGAGUCCCUCCCACCGUACAUCCAGUCUGAAGCUGAGCAUCGGCAAUGCAGGGCUGCAAUGAAGCGGGAAAUCCAGGAGUUUUUGCUUGAAGACGAUCCGGAGACAUCCUAAACCUCAAUCUGCCUCUCUUGUGACUUUUGCUGGGCUUGGGCCAAAUGAGACAGAGCACAGCUAGAGCCCCCCAGUUUGAGGGUGAUGGUGACGUCAAUGGGGUGGUUGACCACGCCGACCACGGAGCGCACCAGCGACAUGAAGAGCAGCGGGAACCAGAUGAUGCAGAUGAGGAAGAGGAUGAUGAGGCCGCCCAUGCCGUACUUGACAAUCUUCUUCUUCUUCUGGCCCUUGGGCUGCGGGUAUUUCUGACGAGGAACACAGGCCAUUCAGACGCAGUGCCAUUUGCAAAGCAAUGGGCUCCCAUUUAAACCAAUUAAUCCAUCACUAACAGUGGGACCUAAUUGCCUGAAUUGGUUACGCUCAACUUUUGUUGUUUGUGUUCCUAUGAAGGAGACACCUCCCAGUUUGUGAUGUUUUACAAACUUGUAGUUUCCUUGAAUGCACCUACGCUGUAGAAUGAAUGCAAUUUGAUCCCAUUCGGCCAUGCACCAAAAGCACAAGCAAAGCACCCCUAACAGAUGGCCACCCAGCCUCAAUGUCAAUACUAAUAUUUAUUUAUUUACUACAUUUAUAUCCCGCCCGUCUCACCUCGAAGGGGACUCAGAGCGGCAUACAAAUAAUAUUUACAUACAGCAUAUUAUAUCAAUAGCACAGCACAACACUAGCACUAUAUACCAGCAUAUUGCACUACACCACUAUACUGUAAUACAGGGGUCCCCAAACUUUUUAAGCAAUCCUUCAGACUGUUGAGGGGCCGAAUUAUCAUUUGAAAAAAAAAUACAAACGAAUUCCUAUACAUGUCUUAUUUGUAGUGCAACAGCAACAACAACAACGAAAGAACAAUACAAUAUUUAAAAAUGAAAACAAUUUUAACCAACAUAAACCUAUUAGGAUUUCAAUGGAAAGUGUGGGCCUGCUACUGGCCAAUGAGAUAGUCAAAUUAAUUAGGAUUGUUGUUGUUGUUGUUGUGUGCCUUCAAGUCAUGUCAGACUUUGGUUGAGCCUAAGUCUAAAAUUAUUUAUUUAUUUACUGCAUUUAUUUACUACAUUUAUAUCCCGCCCUUCUCACCCCGAAGGGAACUCAGAGCAGCUGUAUGUACAUAUUAUAUUAUAUUAUUAGCAUAACACAAUAUUAGCAUUAUAUAUUACUACAGUAGAGUCUCACUUAUCCAACACUCGCUUAUCCAACGUUCUGGAUUAUCCAACGCAUUUUUGUAGUCAAUGUUUUCAAUAUAUUGUGAUAUUUUGGUGCUAAAUUCAUAAAUACAGUAAUUACUACAUAGCAUUACUGUGUAUUGAACUACUUUUUUCUGUCAAAUUUGUUGUAUAACAUGAUGUUUUGGUGCUUAAUUUGUAAAAUCAUAACCUAAUUUGAUGUUUAAUAGGCUUUUCCUUAAUCUCUCCUUAUUAUUCAACAUAUUCACUUAUCCAACGUUCUGCCGGCCCAUUUACGUUGGAUAAGCGAGACUCUACUGUAUAUUGAACUAUACCACUAUACUAUUAUAUAAUAUGUAAUAUAUAACAUACAAUUAAUAUUAUUAUAUGGUAUUACUAUUAGUAUUAUAUUGUAUAACAUAAGAUUAUUAUCAAUAUUAUAUGUAUAUACAAUAUAUUAUAUUAUUAAAACUUAUAUAAAAAUAUUAUAUUAUAAAACUGAGGGCGGGGGCCAGGUAAAUGACCUUGGAGGGCCGCAUCCGGCCCCCGGGCCUUAGUUUGGGGACCCCUGCUGUAAUAUUACCAGUAAUAUUCCAUGAAAUAAAAGAUAUAUAAAUAUUAUUAUAUUGUAUUAUUAUUAGUAUUAUAUUGCAUUACAUUAUAAUAUUGUAAUCAGUAUUGCAUGUAUAUACAAUAUAUUAAUUAUUACAGUAGAGUCUCACUUAUCCAACAUUCGCUUAUCCAACGUUCUGGAUUAUCCAACGCAUUUUUGUAGUCAAUGUUUUCAAUAUAUCAUGAUUUUUUGGUGCUAAAUUCAUAAAUACAGUAAUUACUAUGUAGCAUUACUGCAUAUUGAACUACUUUUUCUGUCAAAUUUGUUGAAUAACAUGAUGUUUUGGUGCUUAAUUUGUAAAAUCAUAACCUAAUUUGAUGUUUAAUAGGCUUCUCCUUCAUCUCUCCUUAUUAUCCAACAUAUUCGCUUAUCCAACGUUCUGCCGGCCCGUUUAUGUUGGAUAAGUGAGACUCUACUGAAUUUAUUAUUGUGAAUUAUAUUGUAAUAUAAUUGUAAUAAUAAAGAGGGUUGGAAGAGACCCCUUGGGCCAUUUAGUCCAACCGCCUUCUACCUUUCUGCACCAAAAGCACAAGCAAAGCACCCCUAACAGAUGGCCACCCAGCCUCAAUGUCAAUAAUAAUAAUAAUAAUAAUAAUAAUAAUAAUAAUAAUUGGAAGAGACCCCUUAGGCCAUUUAGUCCAAGCGCCUUCUACCUUUCUGCACCAAAAGCACAAGCAAAGCACCCCUAACAGAUGGCCACCCAGCCUCCAUGUCAAUAAUAAUAAUAAUAAUAAUAAUAAUAAUUGGAAGAGACCCCUUGGGCCAUUUAGUCCAAGCGCCUUCUACCUUUCUGCACCAAAAGCACAAGCAAAGCACCCCUAACAGAUGGCCACCCAGCCUCCAUGUCAAUAAUAAUAAUAAUAAUAAUAAUAAUAAUAAUAAUAAUAAUUGGAAGAGACCCCUUAGGCCAUUUAGUCCAACCGCCUUCUACCUUUCUGCACCAAAAGCACAAGCAAAGCACCCCUAACAGAUGGCCACCCAGCCUCCAUGUCAAUAAUAAUAAUAAUAAUAAUAAUAAUAAUAAUUGGAAGAGACCCCUUAGGCCAUUUAGUCCAACCGCCUUCUACCUUUCUGCACCAAAAGCACAAGCAAAGCACCCCUAACAGAUGGCCACCCAGCCUCCAUGUCAAUAAUAAUAAUAAUAAUAAUAAUAAUAAUAAUAAUAAUUGGAAGAGACCCCUUGGGCCAUUUAGUCCAAGCGCCUUCUUGUGUACCAAAAGCACAAGCAAAGCACCCCUGACAGAUGGCCACCCAGCCUCAAUGUUAAUAAUAAUAAUAAUAAUAAUAAUAAUAAUAAUAAUAAUAAUAAUAAUAAAUAAUAAUAAUAAUGUUAUGGCCUCCCAACCUUCUCUGUCUCGCGGCUGCACUUGAUGAUGAAGAUGUUGGCGUAGAUGUCUUCCACGCACAUCCAGUUCGAGAGGGACAAAGUGGUGUCGGUCCAGACCCAGUCCAUGACGGCCCGCAGCUCCACCAGGAAAGGCACCAAGCGGAAACUGGCGGAGAAAGAAGGAGAGAGAGCUCAAGUUCCAAAUUCUAAGUUACUCAAUUACUCAUUCUUCUGCCUCCCUCCAUUCUCGUUUUCAUAGGGUGCAUCUACACUGUAGAUUUGGUGCUUUGAUUUGUGCUUUUAUUACAUGGCAAAAUAAAGAGGAUUGGACUGGGUGUCCCCUGGGGUUGCUCCUAUUAUUAAUACUAGUACAGUAGAGUCUCACUUAUCCAACAUAAACGGGCCAGCAGAACAUUGGAUAAGUGAAUAUGUUGGAUAAUAAGGAGAGAUUAAGGAAAAGCCUAUUAAAUAUCAAAUUAGGUUAUGAUUUUACAAAUUAAGCACCAAAACAUCAUGUUAUACAACAAAUUUGGCAGAAAAAGUAGUCCAAUAUGAAGUAAUACUACAUAGUAAUUACUGUAUUUACGAAUUUUGCACCAAAAUAUCAUGAUAUAUUGAAAACAUUGGCUACAAAAAUGCGUUGGAUAAUCCAGAACGUUGGAUAAGCGAGUGUUGGAUAAGUGAGAAUCUACUGUAUUACUAUUAUCAUUUCAAAGGCUGGAUGGUCAUCUGUUGGGGGUGCUUUGAUUGUGCUUUUCCUGCAUGGCAGAAGGGGGUAGAACUGGAUGGCCCCUGGGUUUGCUAUUAUUAUUAUUAUUAUUAUUAUUAUUAUUAUUAUUAUUAUUAUUACGACACAGCAAACAAGAUAGAUAUGCUGGAUUUCGUCGAACUCUUCCCAAGUGUCUAGGACUGUGUGAUGUAUUUUCGGAUGACGCAUGCAGAUCCCAGUAAGGUGGCCUAUUAUUAUUAUUAUUAUUAUUAUUAUUAUUAUUAUUAUUAUUAUUAUUACAAAGGCUGGAUGGCCAUCUCUUGGGGAUGCUUUGACUGUGCUUUUCCUGCAUGGCAGAAGGGGGUGGGACUGGAUGGCCCCUGGGCUUGCUCUUUAUUAUUAUUAUUAUUAUUAAUUACUACUACUACUACUACUACUACUACUACUAUUACUUCAAAGGCUAGAUAGAUGGCCAUCUGUUGGGGGUGCUUUGAUUUGUGCUUUUACUGCAUGGCAGAAAUAGGUUGGACUGAAUGGCCCCUGGGGUUACUUCUAUUAUUAUUAUUAUUAUUAUUAUUAUUAUCAUCAUCAUUAUUAUUAUCGUUAUUAUUGUUUAUUUCAAAUAUUUAUAUCCCGCCCUUCUCACCCGGAGGGACUCAGGGCAGCGUACAAUUGGCAACAAUUCGAUGCCGAUACAUCAUUAAAAACAACAACAUAUAAAAAUACAACCAAUUAAAUACAGUAUAAAAUAUAAAACAUAAAACAUGUGUUUAAAAUCCGUUUGUCCAAUAUCCUCCAACUUUAUCCAUAUAACAAUCUGGGUCGUCUUUAUCAUUUAUUCAUUAAAAGCCUGGGCACAAAUGAA